rnacentral:lncRNA from 1 species
GGGGUUUAAUGGGGGGUCUUGAAUUGGGGGGCUUAUGGGGGGGCAUAAAUGGGGGAGGGUCGUUAUAUAGGGGGGUUAUGGGUGGAUGGGGGCACAAGAUGGCCGCCAUUGGUUGGGUGGAUGGAGAACAAGAUGGCCGCCAUUGUUAAACAGGGUUGGAGGGGGGGAAACAAGAUGGCGGACAUUAAGAAGAGGGCGGGACUUCCGGUCUUGAAGAUAAUUGAUGGCUCAAUGGGGAGAGGGACUUCCGGUCUUGGGGAGGAAGUGGGGGUGCAUGGGAACUUCCGGUGCUGGGUAAGAGGAGGCGGGACUUCCGGUUCUGGAUAGAAGGGCGGGGGGCGGGACUUCCGGUUGGUCCGGGCACCAAUGAAAGAUGAGACUUCCGGUUCCGGGUAAUCCAGGGGGUGGGACUUCCGGUUCGCGGGCCAAUCUACAACGGAAGCUCGGAGGGGGGGGAACACACACAAAGGAGACUUCCGGUUCUAUAUGCUCCUAUGAGGGCUUAGUUCCGGUUGGAUGGAACCGAACCGGGCCUGAUUUUCGGUUUUUCCACUCAAAAACUCGGGACUUCCGGUUCGAGGCACCCAGAAGACCGGAUAUCCGCUUUUGUGCAGCACUUCCGGUCUCCCACAUCCGGCUUUGUGGGCGGGACUUCCGGCUACUCUUCUCCACCAACGGCUGCGCUCAGAGCGCAAGGGGGCGUGGCUAAAUAUAAUGAGAUGCAAACCACGCCCAUGUCGCUCCAUAUAAGGAAAGAGGGCGUGGUCACGUUACCAUAUAUGGUAUCAACAUGGCGGCUGGGAGAUGAAGCCCCGCCCCCUUUCCCCGGCAUCCCCCGCGCGGCCCCGCCCCCCCCCGGAGCGCAGCGCAGCGGUGCCCAUGGAGGAGGAGGAGAAGCCCCCAGGGCAUGAAGAGCCAACGGGGCCGGGGGGUGGGGGGGGUCCGAAGGGAGACCCCCCCCCAGAAGAGGAAGGAAGGCUGAGAAUGGGGGAUCCGGGGGGGGGGCGGCUGUCGGGACCCCCCCAUGAUGGAGAUGUGGACCCCCCCCCUCCACUGAAAGCAAUGGACGGAGUGAGAACGGCCUGGGGGGCUACAGGAGAUGCAGUUGGGAAGCGGUCCCUGCGGCAGCGUUGGUGUUGGGCUCCCUGUAUUAAAGGGGUCCCGGUGGUGGAGGGGCUGCAGGGGGCGCUGCGACAGCUGCUGGGGGCAGCAGGCCCUGAUGAAGAGGGACACUGGGGUCCCUCUAUGGGCACAUUGGGGUCACACUAUGGGGCCAGGAGAUCCCAUAACCCUAUAUAACCCUAUAUAGUCCUAUAUAACCCUAUAUAACCCUGUAAAUCCUUAUAUAACUCUAUACAAUCCUAUAUAUCCCUAUAUAGCCCUAUAUAACACUAUGUAAUCCUAUAUAACCCUAUAUAACCCUAUAUAACAUUAUAUAAUCCUAUGUAACCCUAUAUAAUCCUAUAUAACCUUAUGUAAUCCUAUAUGACCCUAUAUAACCCUAUAUAACCUUAUAAAUCCCUAUAUAACCCUAUAUAACCCUAUAUAUCCCUAUAUAUCCCUAUAUAACCUUAUAUAUCCCUAUAUAACCCUAUAUAAUCCUAUAUAACCCUAUAUAACCCUAUAAAUCCCUAUAUAACCCUAUAUAACCCCAUAUAACCCCAUAUAACCCUAUACAACCCUAUAUAACCCUAUACAACCCUAUAUAACCCUAUAUAACCCCGUAUAACCCCGUAUAACCUCGUAUAACCCUACAUAACCCUACAUAACCCUAUAUAACCCUAUAUAAUCCUAUAUAAUCCUAUAUAACCCUAUACAACGCUAUAUAACCCCAUAUAACCCCAUAUAACCCCAUAUAACCCCAUAUAACCCUAUAUAACCCUAUACAAUGCUAUAUAACCCUAUAUAACCCUAUAUAUCCCUGUACGACCCUACAUAACCCUAUACAACCUUAUAUAACCCUAUAUAAUCCUAUACAACCCUAUACAACCCUAUACAACCCUAUACAACCCUAUAUAACCCUAUAUAACCCCAUAUAACCCUAUACAACCCUAUAUAACCCUAUAUGACCCUAUA